rnacentral:rRNA from 1 species
GUAACACGUAGUCAACAUGCCCAGGGGACGUGGAUAACCUCGGGAAACUGAGAUUAAACCGCGAUAGGUCAAGAUUUCUGGAAUGGAUCGUGUCUUAAAUCUACAUGGCCCCUGGAUUGGACUGCGGCCGAUCAGGCUGUUGGUGAGGUAAUGGCCCACCAAACCUAUAACCGGUACGGGCUCUGAGAGGAGAAGCCCGGAGAUGGGCACUGAGACAAGGGCCCAGGCCCUAUGGGGCGCAGCAGGCGCGAAACCUCUGCAAUGGGCGAAAGCCUGACAGGGUUACUCUGAGUGAUUUCCGCUAAGGAGAUCUUUUGGCAGCUCUAAAAAUGGUGCGGAAUAAGGGGUGGGCACGUCUGGUGUCAGCCGCCGCGGUAAUACCAGCACCCCUACUGGUCGGGACGAUUAUUGGGCCUAAAGCAUCUGCAGCCGGUCGUGCCAGUCCUCCGUUACAUCAAGUCCCUCAAUUGAUGGGCUGCGCAUGCAAACGUAGGUCU